rnacentral:rRNA from 1 species
AUUGAACGCUGGCGGCAUGCCUUACACAUGCAAGUCGAACGGCAGCAUGGGUGCUUGCACCUGAUGGCGAGUGGCGAACGGGUGAGUAAAGCAUCGGAGCGUACCCGGAAGUGGGGGAUAACGUAGCGAAAGUUACGCUAAUACCGCAUAUUCUGUGAGCAGGAAAGCAGGGGCUCGUAAGACCUUGCGCUUUCGGAGCGGCCGAUGUCGGAUUAGCUAGUUGGUGAGGUAAAGGCUCACCAAGGCGACGAUCCGUAGCGGGUCUGAGAGGAUGAUCCGCCACACUGGGACUGAGACACGGCCCAGACUCCUACGGGAGGCAGCAGUGGGGAAUUUUGGACAAUGGGCGGAAGCCUGAUCCAGCCAUGCCGCGUGAGUGAAGAAGGCCUUCGGGUUGUAAAGCUCUUUUGUCAGGGAAGAAAUAGCUUGGGUUAAUACCCUGGGCGGAUGACGGUACCUGAAGAAUAAGCACCGGCUAACUACGUGCCAGCAGCCGCGGUAA